ACGGGUGAGUAACACGUAUCCAACCUGCCGUCUACUCUUGGACAGCCUUCUGAAAGGAAAGAAUUAAUACAAGAUGGCAUCAUGAGUCCGCAUGUUCACAUGAUUAAAGGUAUUCCGGUAGACGAUGGGGAUGCGUUCCAUUAGAUAGUAGGCGGGGUAACGGCCCACCUAGUCUUCGAUGGAUAGGGGUUCUGAGAGGAAGGUCCCCCGCAUUGGAACUGAGACACGGUCCAA
rnacentral:rRNA from 1 species